GACGAACGCUGGCGGCGUGCUUAACACAUGCAAGUCGAACGGAAAGGCCUCAGCUUGCUGGGGUACUCGAGUGGCGAACGGGUGAGUAACACGUGGGUGAUCUGCCUUGCACUCUGGGAUAAGCUUGGGAAACUGGGUCUAAUACCGGAUAUGAACUGCCUUUAGUGUGGUGGUUGGAAAGUUUUUUCGGUGCAAGAUGAGCUCGCGGCCUAUCAGCUUGUUGGUGGGGUAAUGGCCUACCAAGGCGUCGACGGGUAGCCGGCCUGAGAGGGUGUACGGCCACAUUGGGACUGAGAUACGGCCCAGACUCCUACGGGAGGCAGCGGUGGGGAAUAUUGCACAAUGGGAGGAAGCCUGAUGCAGCGACGCCGCGUGGGGGAUGACGGCCUUCGGGUUGUAAACUCCUUUCGACAGGGACGAAGCUUUUUGUGACGGUACCUGUAUAAGAAGCACCGGCUAACUACGUG
rnacentral:rRNA from 1 species